UCAAGCUAGAAAGAGCGCAAGGGGAAUGCCUUGGCAUCAGGAGCCGACGAAGGACGUGACAAGCUGCGAUAAGCUGCGGUGAGCUGCACAUAAGCUUUGACCCGCAGAUUUCCGAAUGGGGAAACCCCCUGGAGCAAUACUCCAGGAACCUGCGUUGAAUCAAAUAGGCGUAGGUGGGGAACCGCCUGAACUGAAACAUCUAAGUAGGGCGAGGAAGAGAAAUCAACCGAGAUUCCGCUAGUAGUGGCGAGCGAACGCGGAAGAGGGCAAACCGGAGGAUUUAUCCUCCGGGGUUGUGGACAGUUUUUUAGCAACUGGAACUAGGAGAACGGUAUGGGAAGGCCGGCCAUAGCGGGUGAUAGCCCCGUAUCCGAAAGGGAAGGUUGUGCGACUGGAUCCAGAGUACCGCCGGACACGUGAAACCCGGUGGGAAGCUGGGGGGACCACCCUCCAACCCUAAAUACUACCUGAUGACCGAUAGAGGAGCAGUACCGUGAGGGAAAGGUGAAAAGGACCCCGGGAGGGGAGUGAAAGAGAACCUGAAACCUUGUGCUUACAAGCACUCAAAGCCCGUUAAAGGGUGAUGAGGUACCUUUUGUAGAAUGGUCCGGCGAGUUAUUGUUACUGGCAAGCUUAAGGCAUUCAGUGCCGGAGGCGAAGGGAGACCGAGUCUGAAUAGGGCGUAUGAAGUCAGUGGCAAUAGACCCGAAACCGGGUGACCUAUCCAUGGGCAGGUUGAAGUGGGGGUAAAACCCCAUGGAGGACCGAACGCACGCCCGUUGCAAUGGUCGGCGAUGACCUGUGGAUAGCGGUGAAAUUCCAAUCGAACUCGGAGAUAGCUGGUUCUCCCCGAAAUAGCUUUAGGGCUAGCGUUGGCUUAGAUUACCGGAGGUAAAGCACUGAAUGGGCUAGGGGCCGAUAAGGUUACUGAACCCUAUCAAACUCUGAAUGCCGGAUAAUUGAUGGCCAGCAGUCAGUCUACGUGAGAUAAGUCUCGUGGACAAAAGGGAAACAGCCCAGACCCACAGCUAAGGUCCCAAAGAUACGCUAAGUGGAAAACGAUGUGGAGUUGCGAAAACAACCAGGAUGUUGGCUUAGAAGCAGCCACUCAUUAAAAGAGUGCGUAAUAGCUCACUGGUCGAGUGACUCUGCGCGGAAAAUAUAACGGGGCUAAGCGUAACACCGAAGCUUGGGCUGCACAGCAAUGUGCGGGGUAGGGGAGCGUCGAAUAUGGGGUGAAGUCGCAGCGGAAGCAGCGGUGGACUGUAUUCGAGUGAGAAUGCCGGAAUGAGUAGCGAGAAUUAUGUGGGAAUCAUAAUGGCCGAAAAUCUAAGGUUUCCUGGGGAAGGUUCGUCCGCCCAGGGUAAGCCGGGAGCUAAGGCGAGGCCGAAAGGCGUAGUCGAUGCACAUACGGUUGAAAUUCCGUAGCCACCGAACCUUAAGUACACUGACACAUGGAGAUAGCGGGACCCGGGCGUUGGUUGACCCGGGCGUAAGGGACCGAACUUUAGUAGGGAAGUCCGCGAUGCUCUGUGGCGAGAAAAGGUGUAUGGUAUGCUAAGGUGCCCGUACCGCAAACCGACACAGGUAGAUGAGGAGAGAAUCCUAAGGCCAACGGGAGAAGGGUUGUUAAGGAACUCGGCAAAAUGACCCCGUAACUUCGGGAUAAGGGGAGCCUCCUACGGGAGGCCGCAGCGAAUAGGCCCAAGCGACUGUUUACCAAAAACACAGGUCUCUGCUAAAUCGAAAGAUGACGUAUAGGGGCUGACGCCUGCCCGGUGCUGGAAGGUUAAGAGGAGAUGUUAGCCGCAAGGCGAAGCAUUGAAUCGAAGCCCCAGUAAACGGCGGCCGUAACUAUAACGGUCCUAAGGUAGCGAAAUUCCUUGUCGGGU
rnacentral:rRNA from 1 species